GGAAAAGAAAUCAACCGAGAUUCCCCCAGUAGCGGCGAGCGAACGGGGAGCAGCCCAGAGCCUGAAUCAGUGUGUGUGUUAGUGGAAGCGUCUGGAAAGGCGCGCGAUACAGGGUGACAGCCCCGUACACAAAAAUGCACAUGCUGUGAGCUCGAUGAGUAGGGCGGGACACGUGGUAUCCUGUCUGAAUAUGGGGGGACCAUCCUCCAAGGCUAAAUACUCCUGACUGACCGAUAGUGAACCAGUACCGUGAGGGAAAGGCGAAAAGAACCCCGGCGAGGGGAGUGAAAAAGAACCUGAAACCGUGUACGUACAAGCAGUGGGAGCACGCUUAGGCGUGUGACUGCGUACCUUUUGUAUAAUGGGUCAGCGACUUAUAUUCUGUAGCAAGGUUAACCGAAUAGGGGAGCCGAAGGGAAACCGAGUCUUAACUGGGCGUUAAGUUGCAGGGUAUAGACCCGAAACCCGGUGAUCUAGCCAUGGGCAGGUUGAAGGUUGGGUAACACUAACUGGAGGACCGAACCGACUAAUGUUGAAAAAUUAGCGGAUGACUUGUGGCUGGGGGUGAAAGGCCAAUCAAACCGGGAGAUAGCUGGUUCUCCCCGAAAGCUAUUUAGGUAGCGCCUCGUGAAUUCAUCUCCGGGGGUAGAGCACUGUUUCGGCAAGGGGGUCAUCCCGACUUACCA
rnacentral:rRNA from 1 species